rnacentral:misc_RNA from 1 species
CAACUUUAAACUUCACAAGAGCUUUACUGCUUAUAGAUGAAGAAAGUGCAGGGAAAUGGUGUUGAAUAAUGUCAAAAUGGUUAUGAAACUGACCCUACAACAAGUAUAUGACAUAUUGAUUGUAUUUCAUGAUCAACUGCAUUCCAACAUGAGCGGAAAAUGCAUUGCAAAUUACUUAAACGACACCAAGAAAACAUAUAUCAGGCAAAUUUUCUACGUAUGUUAAGACCAAAAUAUAUAUAUUCCCUCAUUGAAAUUGAAACUUUUAUUCAUAACAGCUGGUGUAAAAAGAAACAAGGAAAAGACAAUAAUCAGGAGAGUAGGCAAGAAUUUU